rnacentral:miRNA from 1 species
UACGGUAACCGUAGAGCUCAUC